rnacentral:lncRNA from 1 species
GGUUCUGUAAUUUUUAGCCUAAAACUGCAGGGGUCGACUCAUGGGUCGACUCAUGCCUUGAGGGUCGACUCAUGGGUCGACUCACAGGUUGUGCCAAGCCAAAAAUUCUGCGUGCCAAACAGCUCAUUGUGCCAUGAGCUGACUCAUGGGUCGACUCAUGGAUUUCAAACAUGCAUAACUUUCAAAAUACAAGUCCAAAAAUAAUGAAAUUUUUGCCAAU